GCAUUAAUUUUUGAAAAUAUAAAGUACUCUAUGUUAUUUAUGUUAUUUAACAACAAUAUACCUUAUAAUCAUUGGAUCCCUAUACCAAUAUUCAAUGCAGAUAAUAUAUUUAUAAUUUAAGAUAGUACUAUAAAUUCAAGCAAAUCUAUAUGUUAUAAAUAUUAUGUAUAUAACAGCCAGGUUUGAAAAAUUUUCUGUAGC
rnacentral:lncRNA from 1 species